ensembl:lncRNA
AUGAUGACGGAGCAUUUCUGUAAAGUUUUGUUGGUUAAUGAAAACUUCAUGAAGUUGUCAGACAGUCACAGACUACCAUCCGUUAAACUAAAUGUUGAGUCCUCCGUUUUAAUGACCAAACCAGAUUCUUCUUCACUUUGCAGGCAGCCGACCGAAACGCUUGCUAGUGUACAUCAAUCCCUACGGUGGAAAACAGCGUGGGAAGUGGCUUUACGAGCAGAGAGCAGCACCACUCUUCUCCCGAGCCUCCAUCUCCACCGACGUGAUCAUUACGGAGAGUGCCAAUCAUGCCAGGGAUCACUUGAAGACGGAGGUAGAUCUGAAGCAAUGUGACGGGUGAGUUUUAGACCUUGCAGGAAGACACUUCAAUCACCUGGCAUAGACUUUAUUAUCUCGGUCAGAAAUGACUUUGUUGGUGCAAAAGACUAAGUGAAGAUCUCCGUACAAAACAGUCCAUGUCCAACCACAAUGCAUUCAUAUCUGAGGAAAGGGGACUGCUGAGAGCAAAGUGGACAUUAAUGGCAGCAUCAAUGCAACAACAACAUUAAGACGAAAGCUUAGGGGGACAGAGUGUCUGCGGGUUUUUACUCCUCCCUUGUACUUGAUUGAUCAAUUAAGGUCACUGAUUAGUUAGGAAAUCCCCUCACCUGGUUGUCUAGGUCUUAAUAGGACACAAAUUGAAGGGAAAUAACAAAAACCAGCAGGCACUCUAAGGCUGGUCUCAAAGUAGGGUUUUCAUGCAUCGUGGGUGUGUGUGUCCCUGAUCAGGGUGGUGUGUGUGGGAGGGGACGGGAUGUUCAGUGAGGUUGUCCACGGCCUGGGCCCAGAGUGAUUCCAGAGUGGACCAGAACCAAUCGAACCAGGACCUGGUUCCAUGUGUGUUCCGCAUUGGAAUCAUCCCUGCAGGUGAGAGAGGAGGGGUGGGGAGAAGAGAGGGGAAGGGAGGAGAGAAAUGGAGAAGAGGAAAGAAGGGGAGAAGGUAAGGUAAAGGCCAGCUAUAGCCCAUAGACUGUGUUACAACUGUUAGUGGCCAUGGCUAUGAUUGACUCUCACAGUGGCUAACUUCAGCUCCCAUGUUCUGUUAUCUGGCUGUUGCUGAGUUACGGGAAGGAAUCCCAAUAGCAACGGGACACGGAGUCCUACAGGGGGUUGUGAAGACUCUAUCACUCAAAACUGCAUUAAGAGGGGGCCUGUUGUGCUGCCUGACACAUUUUAAAAUAAUAUAUUUCACCACCGUAAAAUCCAUUACUUCACAAUACCUAAGGUUGAAGAUAGAGGAGGAGAAUCAAUCACAGCUGGUUAGGCCUUAGAGCAUUGGGCCAGUAACCGAAAGGUUGCUGGAUUGAAACCCCGAGCUGACAAGGUAAAAAUCUGCCAUUCUGCCCCUGAACAAGACAGUUAACCCUGUCAGGUAUGCGUAAAUGGCUGUAAGGGAGUCAGAUGCAGGAGAGCAGAUAUUGGGUAGCCAACGGAGCCUUUUAUUUAGGCGAACGUAAAACACAGCAAAGUGAACACGAAAUAACAAUACGGGUUAACAUAACCCAGCGCAGGAGAGGCAUUGACUUCAGCAGACGUCGUGACAAACCCACAGUUCCCCGAAGACGUGGAUGUUGAUUAAGGCAGCCCCCGUCUCUGAUUCAGAGGGGUUGGGUUAAAUGCGGAAGACACAUUUCAGUUGAAGGCAUUCAGUUGUACAACUGACUAGGUAUCCCCCCAUUCCCUUUCCUAUAGCUUCAGUGAUUCUAUAGGUUAAUGCUACUUCUUAGCAUCAAGUGCCUGCUGCUGCUGGGGUCCAGAAUUACAGCCUUUUCCCGGUCAGUCAGAUGAAGGUGAAAUCAUUUUUUGUCACCAAAGUACAAGCCAGUUGACAUCUUUAUCUAGAGAAAAGGACUCACAGUAUCACAGUUUUUGUUGUGCAUUUGCCUUGGUUGGUUUCUCACUGACAGGUUUCAUGAGGUCAAGUGUGGCCUCUUCUGCUGCCACUGCUCAGGCUGUAUAAACCUUUUAAAUAUUGUUACCUAUCAAUCAAUCAUUAUAUAAUUUUUGAGGCUGAUAAUAAUAACACAAAGUAAUAAUGAUGUAUUAAGUAGACAUGUCGUAAGAUAGCGAACAAAACCUCUCAGUAUCAAAUAGACAUUCACUGACUAAUAUGAGCAACACAGCACACAUACAGCCUUGGUUAGAGUAUCCAAGUCCCCCCAGUUUUAUCAGGUAACCUACUUAGAUACCUAGUGGCUGUGUGUAAUUCAACACAUUGUCUUAUCACAUAUUUUCUAGGUACUAUGUUCAGGUAAAUGACUGAACCUUGACUGUUAGUCUGUUAGUUAGGCAGACAGAGAUAGUGAGAGAAGCUUUAGAAAGAUUCAAAUGAGGAAGUGAGUCAAAACUGCAGAAAAUAUCUCUUCGAUAAGAAUCUGGAAAUCCACAGAGGGAUAUAUUUAGCUGAGAGAGUAGCUAGUUUCCUCUCUUCUGUGAAUAUUUUGGCUGGCUGUUAAGAUUUGUUGUUUGAUCAUGAAUACAUGCUUGGCUCACACAGUUACACACCUAAGGCAGCCAGGCUUCCUUCAUUCAGAUGUCUUCACUUGAGUAAGAAAUAAGGAAGUGUAAACCAGUCUGUAGCACUACAGUAAGUUUUCAUUUAAAUUCAAGAACUUUUCAGAAAGUAUUGGAGAAGCAAACCAGUCAGUCUGCUGUGUCAUUGUCAAAGAUUCUUCAUAAGAGCAAUAUGAAAAGGGAGGAGUGUGAUCACUAAGCAAUGAUGAAGAGAGGAAGAUAACUCAUCUUCGUACUUAUCUCUGUGUCCAUCUGUAAAUGGCAGGGCUGAUUUCCCUGGCUGCUUUCUGCUCUGUCACGGUUCACUGAGUCAGCUGAAAACAUCUAGCUUGCAUCCCAAAUAGCACCCUAUUCCCUAUAUAGUACAAUAUUUUGGAUCAGGGCCUAUUAGGGAAUAGGGUGCCAUUUGGGAAGCACACCUAGCAUCAGUCUGCUGUCUAGCUGUAGAGAUGGAAAUAGGAAAUAAGUCUGUCUCCUCACCAGUCUGUCUUGGUGUCGUUGGUGCGUCUCAACAGAUAGUGAAUUAUCAAACUGUGACAGAUAUGCCUGAAAUUACUGUCCCCCGGCUAAACGGUAGUGCACGGUCGAUAGAGACCUAUUACCAUAAUAUAAAAUCAGAGAUUUCAAAGUAAAACUGAACAUUUCUCUCAAGUGCCAGGCAGGGUCUGCGUCUCACUUUCCCCUCAUUUACUGUGUAGUGAGUGCUAAUUGACCAGACCCAGACAGACCCACUGGCUAUGAUAUCUUUCUUUGGCUCUGAUACAUAUCACCUCUUUUCUGGCUAAUAAAAAAUCUAUUAAAAUGUUAUUUGUCACAUACAACUGGUGUAGACCUUACAGUGAAAUGCUUACUUUACAAGCCCUUAACCAACCAUGCAGAUUUAAGAAAAUACCUUAAAACAAAGUAAGAGAUAAGAAUAACAACUUAAAUAACAACUUUAAGAGCAGCAGUAAAUAACAAUAGAAGGGCUAUAUAC